AGACCAUGAAGCUCACAUCUGAAAUGUGCUCAUCCUUGGUUUUGUCUAGCUGGAGAAGAAUCAACAACCCAAGAUGCACAAGAAAGAAGAGCCUCUGGAAGAGCAGAAUAGAAUUGCAAGAUCCUCUUCAGUCUACUAACACCAGAGGCCAAAACAGUGUCCUCAUUUGUACCCUUCAGUUUUGAUGCCUGUAACUGGGGGAAGGGAGAGAACUUUUUCUUUUUAAUUAGAUACAUUUGAAAACCAAGGAUGAUGCAACAGAAAAUACUUCAGCAUGAUGUUUGAGGUCUGUUUUUGUUUGGAGCACAUCAGCUCUUUGGUCCCUGGGGCAAGCUGCACAUGCUUCUUCAAGAGUGACUCUGCUUUUCUGGCUGCUGUGGCAAGAACAUGACCGAGACAUUCAUUUUUCCAGAAAUUCACUGCAAUGUUGAGAAUUUCUGGCCAUCAUGGAGCUAUGGAGCUGCUACGGGAGUGAUGGAAAACUUUUAAGGUUCAGCUGUGACUCCACCACUGCCACCAGAAAAGCUGCUAUUGAUGCCAGUGGAGCCGAAGGCCAGUGCCUGGGCAGGAGGAGUGGAGGCUAAGCGUGCAUGGCUGGGACAGCCCAGUUGAAUGCAGUUGGCUCAGGAGGCAAAGGCCACUCCUAAAUUAGGACUGGACUGGAGAGUUACACCGAGGUGAAACUCCAGAUGCAAAAUGCUUGAAGUCUCCCACUUGCAUUUUUCUUCAGGGAAGACACAGGAUUCCCAUGAAAUAACAUCAG